GGCGACUCACCGUCGCCGCGGCACCGGCGGCGGCCGCAAUAUCAAGAACGACCACCUCCGAAGCUUGUAGUCGGGCGUCAGAAGGAGGCGGGUAUUUAUUUUAUAGGCACAUAGGCGUUAUGUGGACAAACCCAGGUGGGAACGAUGGUGGUUGCGUGAUAUGGAGAUUCCAAGCAGAGCUUAAAUGAGACAACACACCGUCUUCUUUCAGCUCUCAUACCGUUAAGUGUUUUGUUAUUGUUCAGCGUGUUGGAGGCAACUGGAGUGAAUUGAGUACAGCUGUGUAAUCUAACACUCCAGAUACCAGUUCCUUUUCCAGUGUUUGGAGUCCGCCUGCCAAUGCAGGGGACAAAGGUUUGAUCCCUGGCCCAGCAAGAUCCCACAGGCUGCAGAGCAGCUAAGCCAUGCGCCACAGCUACUGAGCCCUUGCACCAGAACUAGAAAGUCUGUGCCGCUUGAAAGAUCCCGCAUGACACAACAAACAGCCUAAGUGCCCCAACUAAGACCCGCCGCAGCCAAAUAAAUAAAUAAAAUAUAUUGUAAAAGAAGGCAUACAGAUGGCUAACAACAUGCACGUGAACAGAUGCUCAGCAUCCCUAAUUGUUGUCGUUCAGUUGCCAAG